rnacentral:rRNA from 1 species
GACAGAGGUGCCGAGCGUUAGGCGGAAUCACUGGGCUUAAAGCGUGUGUAGGCGGAUCGUUAAGUACCUUGUGAAAUCCCAUGGCUCAACCAUGGAACUGCUUGGUAUACUGGCGGUCUUGAGCCAGCUAGGGGCUACCGGAACAAAUGGUGGAGCGGUGAAAUGCGUAGAUAUCAUUUGGAACGCCAAUGGUGAAAACAGGUAGCUGGGGCUGUGCUG